rnacentral:rRNA from 1 species
UACGUAGGGUGCGAGCGUUAAUCGGAAUUACUGGGCGUAAAGCGUGCGCAGGCGGUUUUGUAAGCCAGAUGUGAAAUCCCCGGGCUUAACCUGGGAAUGGCAUUUGGGACUGCAAGGCUGGAGUGCGGCAGAGGAGACUGGAAUUCCUGGUGUAGCAGUGAAAUGCGCAGAUAUCAGGAGGAACACCGGUGGCGAAGGCGGAUCUCUGGGCCUUACCUGACGCUCAGGCGCGAAAGCUAGGGGAGCGAACAGG